rnacentral:rRNA from 1 species
UACGAAGGGGGCUAGCGUUGCUCGGAAUUACUGGGCGUAAAGCGCACGUAGGCGGCUUUCUAAGUCGGGGGUGAAAUCCUGGAGCUCAACUCCAGAACUGCCUUCGAUACUGGGAAUCUCGAGUCCGGAAGAGGUGAGUGGAACUGCGAGUGUAGAGGUGAAAUUCGUAGAUAUUCGCAAGAACACCAGUGGCGAAGGCGGCUCACUGGUCCGGUACUGACGCUGAGGUGCGAAAGCGUGGGAGCAAACAGG